AGCCCGAAGAAAUUCGGAUUAAUGCUCCAUGGUUUAUCGAUAUGGCAUCGUAUUGAUAAUAAAGAUUUAUCGGUAUAAGAUGGGCAUGCGUAUCAUUAGCUAGUUGGUGUGGUAACGGCAUACCAAGGCAACGAUGAUUAGGGGUCCUGAGAGGGAGAUCCCCCACACUGGUACUGAGACACGGACCAGACUCCUACGGGAGGCAGCAGUGAGGAAUAUUGGUCAAUGGAGGCAACUCUGAACCAGCCAUGCCGCGUGCAGGAUGACGGUCCUAUGGAUUGUAAACUGCUUUUGUACAGGAAGAAACCUCCCUACGAGUAGGGACUUGACGGUACUGUAAGAAUAAGGAUCGGCUAACUCCGUGCCAGCAGCCGCGGUAAUACGGAGGAUCCGAGCGUUAUCCGGAAUUAUUGGGUUUAAAGGGUUCGUAGGCGGCUUUGUAAGUCAGUGGUGAAAUUUCCUAGCUUAACUAGGACACUGCCAUUGAUACUGCAGAGCUUGAAUAGUAUGGAAGUAACUAGAAUAUGUAGUGUAGCGGUGAAAUGCUUAGAUAUUACAUGGAAUACCAAUUGCGAAGGCAGGUUACUACGUAUUUAUUGACGCUGAUGAACGAAAGCGUGGGGAGCGAACAGGAUUAGAUACCCUGGUAGUCCACGCCGUAAACGAUGGAUACUAGCUGUUCGGUUUUCGGACUGAGUGGCUAAGCGAAAGUGAUAAGUAUCCCACCUGGGGAGUACGUUCGCAAGAAUGAAACUCAAAGGAAUUGACGGGGGCCCGCACAAGCGGUGGAGCAUGUGGUUUAAUUCGAUGAUACGCGAGGAACCUUACCAGGGCUUAAAUGUAGAUUGACAGAUUUGGAAACAGAUUUUUCUUCGGACAAUUUACAAGGUGCUGCAUGGUUGUCGUCAGCUCGUGCCGUGAGGUGUCAGGUUAAGUCCUAUAACGAGCGCAACCCCUAUUGUUAGUUACCAGCGCGUAGUGGCGGGGACUCUAGCAAGACUGCCGGUGCAAACCGUGAGGAAGGUGGGGAUGACGUCAAAUCAUCACGGCCCUUACGUCCUGGGCUACACACGUGCUACAAUGGCAAGUACAGAAAGCAGCUACCUGGCAACAGGAUGCGAAUCUCCAAAGCUUGUCUCAGUUCGGAUUGGAGUCUGCAACUCGACUCUAUGAAGCUGGAAUCGCUAGUAAUCGGAUAUCAGCCAUGAUCCGGUGAAUACGUUCCCGGGCCUUGUACACA
rnacentral:rRNA from 1 species